rnacentral:rRNA from 1 species
UACGUAGGGGGCUAGCGUUGUCCGGAAUCAUUGGGCGUAAAGCGCGCGUAGGCGGCCAGAUAAGUCCGGUGUGAAAGUCACAGGCUCAACCUGUGAAUGCCGCUGGAAACUGUCUGGCUAGAGUCCGGUAGGGGAGACUGGAAUUCCUGGUGUAGCGGUGAAAUGCGCAGAUAUCAGGAGGAACACCAGCGGCGAAGGCGGCGCUCUGGGCCGGAACUGACGCUGAGGAGCGAAAGCGUGGGGAGCAAAGGGG